GACGAACGCUGGCGGCGUGCUUAAUACAUGCAAGUCGAGCGAAAAGACGCGGAGCUUGCUCCUCUGGCGUUAGCGGCGGACGGGAGAGUAACACGUGGAUAACCUACCUAUAAGACAGGGAUAACUACGGGAAACCGAUGCUAGUAAGGGAUCAUUUCUUGAACCGCAUGGUUGGAUAGUGUCGGAGGGUUUUGCUGGCCCCUCUGGAUGGAUCCGCGCCGCAUUGGCUGGUUGGUACGGUAGCGGCUUACGAAGGCAACGAUGCGUAGCCGACCCGACAGGGUGAACGGCCACACUGGAACUGAGACACCGUCCUGGCUCCGACGGGCGGCCGCGGUAGGGAAUGGUGCGCAAUGUGGGAAAGCCUGCCGGAUCAGCGCCGCGCUAAUGAUGAAGGGCUUCGUAUCGUAUAACGCUGUUAUUGUUGAAGAACAAAUUUGGCAGGAGCGAAGCUUGUCUUGACGGUACCUGAACAGAAAGCACCGGCUAACUACGUG
rnacentral:rRNA from 1 species